rnacentral:rRNA from 1 species
AUUGAACGCUGGCGGCAGGCCUAACACAUGCAAGUCGAGCGAGGACUUCGGUCCUAGCGGCGGACGGGUGAGUAACGCGUGGGAACGUGCCCCUCGGUACGGAAUAGCCCCGGGAAACUGGGAGUAAUACCGUAUGAGCUCUACGGAGGAAAGAUUUAUCGCCAAGGGAUCGGCCCGCGUUGGAUUAGGUAGUUGGUGGGGUAAUGGCCUACCAAGCCGACGAUCCAUAGCUGGUUUGAGAGGAUGAUCGGCCACACUGGGACUGAGACACGGCCCAGACUCCUACGGGAGGCAGCAGUGGGGAAUCUUAGACAAUGGGCGCGAGCCUGAUCUAGCCAUGCCGCGUGAGCGAUGAAGGCCUUAGGGUUGUAAAGCUCUUUCAGCUGGGAAGAUAAUGACUGUACCAGCAGAAGAAGCCCCGGCUAACUCCGUGCCAGCCGCCGCAGUAAGAC